UACGUAGGGGGCUAGCGUUGUCCGGAAUCAUUGGGCGUAAAGCGCGUGUAGGCGGCCCGGUAAGUCCGCUGUGAAAGUCGGGGGCUCAACCCUCGAAAGCCGGUGGAUACUGUCGGGCUCGAGUGCGGAAGAGGCGAGUGGAAUUCCUGGUGUAGCGGUGAAAUGCGCAGAUAUCAGGAGGAACACCAAUUGCGAAGGCAGCUCGCUGGGACGUAACUGACGCUGAGGCACGAAAGCGUGGGGAGCGAACGGG
rnacentral:rRNA from 1 species